CGUCGUACAGGCUUUCUUGAGAUCGUCCGGGUCUACAACAGUGCACUCCCCACUCUAGACCCUGCAGUUCUUACAGCUUUUGUUGAUAGGUGGAGACCAGAGACGCACACCUUCCACACACCUUGUGGAGAAAUGACUAUCACAUUGCAGGAUGUGAAGAUGAUAUUGUGUUUGAGUUUGUCUGGUCAUCCGGUGACUGGGGUCGUCGAUGAGUCUACUUGGCUAGACUUGGUGGAGCAGUUUUGUGGCAGGCGGCCAUCAGAUGCUGAAGUUAAAG